ACCGCGUGAGUGAAGAAGGUUUUCGGAUCGUAAAACUCUGUUGUCAGGGAAGAACAAGUACGAGAGUAACUGCUCGUACCUUGACGGUACCUAACCAGAAAGCCACGGCUAACUACGUGCCAGCAGCCGCGGUAAUACGUAGGUGGCAAGCGUUGUCCGGAAUUAUUGGGCGUAAAGCGCGCGCAGGCGGUCUUUUAAGUCUGAUGUGAAAGCCCACGGCUCAACCGUGGAGGGUCAUUGGAAACUGGGAGACUUGAGUGCAGAAGAGAAGAGUGGAAUUCCACGUGUAGCGGUGAAAUGCGUAGAGAUGUGGAGGAACACCAGUGGCGAAGGCGACUCUUUGGUCUGUAACUGACGCUGAGGCGCGAAAGCGUGGGGAGCAAACAGGAUUAGAUACCCUGGUAGUCCACGCCGUAAACGAUGAGUGCUAAGUGUUAGGGGGUUUCCGCCCCUUAGUGCUGCAGCAAACGCAUUAAGCACUCCGCCUGGGGAGUACGGCCGCAAGGCUG
rnacentral:rRNA from 1 species